rnacentral:rRNA from 1 species
UACGUAGGGUCCGAGCGUUGUCCGGAAUUAUUGGGCGUAAAGGGCUCGUAGGCGGUUUGUCACGUCGGGAGUGAAAACUCAGGGCUCAACCCUGAGCGUGCUUCCGAUACGGGCAGACUAGAGGUAUGCAGGGGAGAACGGAAUUCCUGGUGUAGCGGUGGAAUGCGCAGAUAUCAGGAGGAACCCCGGUGGCGAAGGCGGUUCUCUGGGCAUUACCUGACGCUGAGGAGCGAAAGCAUGGGGAGCGAACAGG